CCAUUUCUUGAAAUAUCACAGAAACCUUCAGUUCAAAGAAUGGAUUUUCACACUUCCCCUUUUAACUUUUUUUUUUCUUCUAGAUACCCGUGUGCCCUUUAAUUUUAAAAAGAUCUUUACCGGGGGUAGGGAUGGGGGUGAAAAAUACCGCCCUGCGUUUUUGGUGCCCACUUCUUUGUCUGGGGAAUGGCAAGAAGGGGACUGGGAUCCCGUACUCAAGAGCCCCUUUUAAAGACCCAGACCGGGGACGCCUCUGGUUUCAGCAGCUCCCUCCGCUGAGUUAUUGAUUGCAGGCAGCAGCAGUCCCUCAGGUUGAUUUGUGUGGAAAGUGAAUCCUCGCUGGAUAGGCGUUCAGCAGAGGCGCCGCAGCCGCAAAGCCAGCCAAUUAUUGCCGGUCCUCCCCUCCAACCCCGCGCUCACUACCUACACACUCCUUGCUGUGUCAGUCUCCACUUCCCCUCUACCCACGAUCCACCCCCCCUCCCCGCGCGGACGGAGCCGAGGGGGCGGUGGUGGGGGGGCUCCCUCCCCGGGAGCGUUUCUAGAGCUCGGAGGCAGCUCGCAGGGGGGCACCACUUUCAGAUAAAAACAUAGACCUGAAUGGCAUCAUCCAGUAUCCAAGGAAACCAUGCACUGUGGUGUAUCCUGAGCAGGACCGAGACAAGGGUGUUUUUCUUAAGAGCCACUGAUUUAGUCAAUUAUCAAAAAUCACAUUAUAAUAAAUGCUGUUCUAAGAAUUUUGAUUAACCUUUA
rnacentral:lncRNA from 1 species